rnacentral:misc_RNA from 1 species
UUUCCGUAGGUGAACCUGCGGAAGGAUCAUUACUGAAUUGUCAACAAGAGUUGUUGCUGGUCUCCAGAUGGGGGCAUGUGCACGCUCUGUUAACACAUCCACUCACACCCUGUGCACCCUCUGUAGUUCUAUGGUUGGGGGGACCUGUCCUCUCCUGCUGUAGUUCUGCAUCUUUACAUACACACUGUAACAAAGUUUUAUGGAAUGCAUGCAGCGUUUAACGCAAUAAAAUACAACUUUCAGCAACGGAUCUCUUGGCUCUC